AGUGAACGCUGGCGGUAGGCCUAACACAUGCAAGUCGAACGGCAGCACAGAGGAGCUUGCUCCUUGGGUGGCAAGUGGCGGACGGGUGAGGAAUACAUCGGAAUCUACUCUGUCGUGGGGGAUAACGUAGGGAAACUUACGCUAAUACCGCAUACGACCUACGGGUGAAAGCAGGGGACCUUCGGGCCUUGCGCGAUUGAAUGAGCCGAUGUCGGAUUAGCUAGUUGGCGGGGUAAAGGCCCACCAAGGCGACGAUCCGUAGCUGGUCCGAGAGGAUGAUCAGCCACACUGGAACUGAGACACGGUCCAGACUCCUACGGGAGGCAGCAGUGGGGAAUAUUGGACAAUGGGCGCAAGCCUGAUCCAGCCAUACCGCGUGGGUGAAGAAGGCCUUCGGGUUGUAAAGCCCUUUUGUUGGGAAAGAAAUCCAGCUGGCUAAUACCCGGUUGGGAUGACGGUACCCAAAGAAUAAGCACCGGCUAACUUCGUGCCAGCCGCCGCGGUAA
rnacentral:rRNA from 1 species